rnacentral:tRNA from 1 species
GCCUGGUUGGCUGAGUCUGUUAAGCAUCUGACUCUUGAUUUCAGCUCAGGCCAUGAUCUCACGGGUUCGUGAGUUCGAGCCCCACAUCAGGCU